rnacentral:rRNA from 1 species
UACAGAGGGUGCAAGCGUUGUCCGGAAUCAUUGGGCGUAAAGAGCGCGUAGGCGGCCCGAUAAGUCCGCUGUGAAAGUCAAGGGCUCAACCCUUGAAUGCCGGUGGAUACUGUCGGGCUAGAGUCCGGAAGAGGCGAGUGGAAUUCCUGGUGUAGCGGUGAAAUGCGCAGAUAUCAGGAGGAACACCAAUGGCGAAGGCAGCUCGCUGGGACGGUACUGACGCUGAGACGCGGAAGCGUGGGGAGCAAACAGG